ensembl:lncRNA
AAAUCACAGUAACCUAUUAUGUCCAACUUAGUUUUCACGAGAGAGUGGGCGCGACCAUUUGUAACUUGAAUGUUUUUGGCUUCUUGUGUCAUUAGCUUCCAGUUAUUUUACCUGUACAGAAACAGCCCAUUAUUCCUUUAUCCCCACUGGGAUAGAGAAGGAAAACACAGUACACUGGCAGCUGGGUUUCCUGCCAAUUACUGCAUUUAAUUUGACCUCACUGUAAUUUAAUUACUAAACAAUUACCAAUCCAUUUAUUGUUUCCAACACAUAUAGCAAUAAGUUAAGAAUGAUUAAUAAAGCUAGUAAUAAAGAUGAGCUGUUAACUGUUGAUAACAGCUCGGUUACUAUGGGGAAUGUCCGCUCUCUCGUCAACAAGGCAGAUGAAUUAACAGCUUGUUUGAAGUUCGAUCCCACGUUUCGGCAGACCAGUUUACUCUGUCUUUCUGAGACGUGGCUGUCUGACAGGAUACCUGAUUCCCAUGUGGAGAUGGAAGGUUUUGCACUUCACAGGAUGGACAGAGAUCAAGCAAGUACGGGUAAGAAGCAAGGUGGAGGUGUCUGUCUGUAUGUGAACAACCGCUGGUGUCAUACUCAACAUGUUACGGUAAAAGAAAGAGUUUGUGACCCGAAUAUCGAGCUCAUUGCAGUGAGUUGUAGACCUUACUACCUACCCAGGGAGUUCUCCCAUGUUAUUGUCAUGGUGGUGUAUAUCCCACCAUCGGGAAAUGGGAAGUGUGCCAUUGAGACAAUUUCGAGAAUCACGCAUGACUUACAGCGCUCCUCUCCAGAUGCGCUGGUUAUUUUGAACGGGGACUUUAAUCACUGCACUCUCUCUACCACCUUACCAUCUUUUAAACAAAUGGUGACGUGUCCUACGAGGGGUGACAAUGUUAUUGACUUGUUUUAUACAAAUGUUAAGGAUGGCUAUGUUGCUAAAUUGCUUCCUCCGCUGGGUAAAUCAGACCAUAACCUGAUAAACUUGACUUCCAAAUAUUCAACGGUGAUACGUAAACAGCCGAUUACGUUAAAGACUGUGCGCGUCUGUUCAGAUGAUGCUUGUGAAACACUAAAGGGGUGCUUUGAAUGCACCGACUGGUCUGUGUUUUUUGAUGGAGACAGUGAUUUGGACAGUAUCUCUGACAAAGUGACUUGUUAUAUUAAUUAUUGUGUCGAGGCUGUAAUUCCGUGUAAACAAAUCAAAAUCUUUCCCAAUAAUAAACCAUGGGUCACCAGAGAAGUUAAAGCUGCUAUUAAUAAGAAGAAAGCAGCCUUUUAUAGUGGUGAUAAAGAAAGGAUUAAAGAUGCCCAAAGAGAGUUGAAAGUCAUUAUCAGACAGGGCAAACAAAAAUAUAAGGAAAGUGUUGAAGNNNNNNNNNNNN